AAAGACUUAGUCCUAACCUUACCGUUAAUUCUUGCUAAACAUAUACAUGCAAGUAUCCGCACUCCAGUGCAAAUGCCCUAGAACUCUUACAAGAGACAAAAGGAGCAGGCAUCAGGCACACCCAAAGCAGUAGCCCAAGACGCCUUGCUUAGCCACACCCCCACGGGUAUUCAGCAGUAAUUAACAUUAAGCAAUAAGUGUAAACUUGACUUAGUUAUAGCAACACCUAGGGUCGGUAAAUUUUGUGCCAGCCACCGCGGUCAUACAAGAGACCCAAAUUAACCGUAACGCGGCGUAAAGAGUGGUAUCAUGCUAUCACGUCGACUAAGAUCAAAACACAAUUGAGCCGUCAUAAGCUUAAAGUGUGCCUAAGACCGCCCUCAACACGAUCUUAGUACCUAUGAUUAAUUUCAUAGCCACGAAAGCUAGGGCACAAACUGGGAUUAGAUACCCCACUAUGCCUAGCCCUAAAUCCUGAUACUUGCUUAACCAAAGUAUCCGCCUGAGAACUACGAGCACAAACGCUUAAAACUCUAAGGACUUGGCGGUGUCCCAAACCCACCUAGAGGAGCCUGUUCUAUAAUCGAUAACCCACGAUAUACCCAACCGCCCCUUGCCAAAGCAGCCUACAUACCGCCGUCGCCAGCCCACCUCAUUGAGAGCACCACAGUGGGCCAAAUAGUCCCACCGCUAGUAAGACAGGUCAAGGUAUAGCCCAUGGGACGGAAGAAAUGGGCUACAUUUUCUAACCUAGAAAACCCACGGAAGGGGGCAUGAAACUGCCUCCGGAAGGUGGAUUUAGCAGUAAAGCGGGACAAUCGAGCCCCCUUUAAGACGGCACUGGGACACGUACAUACCGCCCGUCACCCUCCUCAACAAAGCUACCCAAGCCCCAUAAUUCAAUGUGCCAACUAGCCAAAGAUGAGGUAAGUCGUAACAAGGUAAGUGUACCGGAAGGUGCACUUAGCAUAU
rnacentral:ncRNA from 1 species